GAGAAGGGAACAGGGAGCCCGAGGCGGGUUGAUGGUCUCCAGCUGGAAUGGAUUGGGAACUGGAAAAGUCAGAAGUCAGGGACAAGAAGAGGCUAACAUGACUGGUACCAGUAUAAUUUAGUGAAUCACCCCAUUUCUAAAGAGGAGCCCAGAGGAAGACUGGUCAUCUCUUGCAGAUCUCAAAACCAUGGCUCAGUUGGCUCAGG
rnacentral:lncRNA from 1 species